rnacentral:rRNA from 1 species
GAUGAACGCUAGCGGCAGGCCUAACACAUGCAAGUCGAGGGAGAAGCCCUUUCGGGGCAGAAACCGGCGCACGGGUGCGUAACGCGUAUGCAACCUACCUUUCACAGGGGGAUAGCCCGAAGAAAUUUGGAUUAAUACCCCAUAAUAUUAUUGGAUGGCAUCAUUUGAUAAUUAAAACUGCGGUGGUGAAAGAUGGGCAUGCGUCCUAUUAGCUAGUUGGAGUGGUAACGGCACCCCAAGGCUACGAUAGGUAGGGGUCCUGAGAGGGAGAUCCCCAACACUGGUACUGAGACAGGGACCAGACUCCUACGGGAGGCAGCAGUGAGGAAUAUUGGUCAAUGGUCGGAAGACUGAACCAGCCAUGCCGCGUGCAGGAAGAAUGCCUUAUGGGUUGUAAACUGCUUUUAUAUGGGAAGAAUAAGGCGUACGUGUACGUUGAUGACGGUACCAUAUGAAUAAGC